GCAAGUCGAACGGUAACAGGCCGCAAGGUGCUGACGAAGUGGCGAACGGGUGAGUAAUGCAUCGGAACGUGCCCAGUCGUGGGGGAUAACGCAGCGAAAGCUGCGCUAAUACCGCAUACGAUCUAUGGAUGAAAGCGGGGGACCGUAAGGCCUCGCGCGAUUGGAGCGGCCGAUGUCAGAAUUAGGUAGUUGGUGGGGUAAAGGCUCACCAAGCCAACGAUCUGUAGCUGGUCUGAGAGGACGACCAGCCACACUGGAACUGAGACACGGUCCAGACUCCUACGGGAGGCAGCAGUGGGGAAUUUUGGACAAUGGGCGCAAGCCUGAUCCAGCAAUGCCGCGUGCAGGAAGAAGGCCUUCGGGUUGUAAACUGCUUUUGUACGGAACGAAACGGUCUGAGUUAAUACCUCGGGCUAAUGACGGUACCGUAAGAAUAAGCACCGGCUAACUACGUGCCAGCAGCCGCGGUAAUACGUAGGGUGCAAGCGUUAAUCGGAAUUACUGGGCGUAAAGCGUGCGCAGGCGGUGAUGUAAGACAGUCGUGAAAUCCCCGGGCUCAACCUGGGAAUUGCGAUUGUGACUGCAUCGCUGGAGUGCGGCAGAAGGGGAUGGAAUUCCGCGUGUAGCAGUGAAAUGCGUAGAUAUGCGGAGGAAACACCGAUGGCGAAGGCAAUCCCCUGGGCCUGCACUGACGCUCAUGCACGAAAGCGUGGGGAGCAAACAGGAUUAGAUACCCUGGUAGUCCACGCCGU
rnacentral:rRNA from 1 species